ACCUCCAAGGGCACCUACACACACAUAGACUACACGUACACACUAAGUAAAUAAAUGUUAAAAAUAGACUCUAGUAACUUUGACUAAUAGACUUUUUCAAGAAGAAUUUUAAAAUAGCUGGUUUUUUUUUCAUUCCAUUUGAAAAGAAGAACCUUGUUCCCAGGGUCUGCCAGCGUCGUUCAGGUACCCACUGACAAUAGUCGCUGAGUCCAGUCUACCCUGGAAUGAACUAAAAGUGAAAUUUCCCACUGCGCGGUUUUCAGCAGAAGGUGUGGCCCAGAUUAAAGGAGUGUCUUCCCACCUCAAAAUCUAGAUGAAAGCUGUGUAUCACUCUGCAUUAAGAUCCAGAUAAAAGCCUGGGUUUUCCUGCCUCAAGAUUUAGAUAAAAGCCUGUGUCUUCCAGCUUCAAGAUCCAGAUCACAAGCAUUGAGCCUAGAGCUGGAAACAAAGUUCUUCAGUCCUCACUCUUUCUUUCUUUUGACUGGUGACGCAGAGGUAAG